UGCCAGCCGCCGCGGUAAUACGGAGGGUGCAAGCGUUAAUCGGAAUUACUGGGCGUAAAGGGUGCGUAGGUGGUUGUAUAAGUUAGUUGUGAAAUCCCUGGGCUUAACCUGGGCAUUGCAACUAAGACUGUACAACUCGAGUAUGGGAGAGGGCAGUGGAAUUUCCGGUGUAGCGGUGAAAUGCGUAGAGAUCGGAAGGAACACCAGUGGCGAAGGCGGCUGCCUGGCCCAAUACUGACACUGAGGCACGAAAGCGUGGGUAGCAAACAGGAUUAGAUA
rnacentral:rRNA from 1 species